rnacentral:rRNA from 1 species
UGGGGCGUGAAGUAGGUCCCAAGGGUAUGGCUGUUCGCCAUUUAAAGUGGUACGCGAGCUGGGUUUAGAACGUCGUGAGACAGUUCGGUCCCUAUCUGCCGUGGGCGCUGGAGAACUGAGGGGGGCUGCUCCUAGUACGAGAGGACCGGAGUGGACGCAUCACUGGUGUUCGGGUUGUCAUGCCAAUGGCACUGCCCGGUAGCUAAAUGCGGAAGAGAUAAGUGCUGAAAGCAUCUAAGCACGAAACUUGCCCCGAGAUGAGUUCUCCCUGAGACUUAGAGUCUCCUGAAGGAACGUUGAAGACGACGACGUUGAUAGGCCGGGUGUGUAAGCGCAGCGAUGCGUUGAGCUAACCGGUACUAAUGAACCGUGAGGCUUAACCUUAC